CCAGAUGCAUUUUCCUAUUUUAAAUCAUUACAACUCAAGUCCUGAUUAAAAUGUUUAGAUAGUGAGUGGUCUUUAGGGAUAACAAAAAUUGCUUCUACGGAAUUCUAAUCAGUGAUAAGAUAGGAUGUCUAGGAAAAAGAUAAAAAUUGAAGGUAAAGGUAGUCGACCAAUCGAUAACCUAGUUUCGAUUGAAGAUUCUCCGAUAUCAGGCAGGUAGCAUCUGCGCAGGGCGAAACUCGGGUCACCGACAUGAAAGCGCCGAAGGAUUAAAAUUACCUGCUAUCCAAGUUCGUUUACUUCUCGCUGAGAAGUCACCGCAAAAGCUAUGAAAAAGCUUGCUAAGUUUAUCCCAAAUCGCUCGGGGAUAGACAGAAUAUAAUAAGAAAAGGAUACGUGUACAUAUAGUUCCUACGAGUUACUUAUUUAACAGGUGGAGCUCCGAAUUUAUCGAGUACCCCGAAGAGAAGUAACCUAGAAAAGAAACGAAAAAAAGAAUCAUCUUUUCGGAGAGGUAGAGUCUUCUAUAAGGUAGAGUAUCGAAAGAAUCUUACGGGGA
rnacentral:lncRNA from 1 species